AAAAGUGUCUUUUACAGGGUUCCAACUGUCCCUGGGCAUAAAUGUAUACAUCCCAUCCUCUUCCUUAGAGAAUAUGUUGCCUAAAUCCUCACCCAAUACAGUCCCUUAGACUGUUGAAUUAUUAAAGUAGAAGAGGUGUCUGAUUUGGGAGAUGUUUCUGAGAAUCUCUAGGACCUCUUGGCUACAUAUGGACAAGGAGUAAAUUAAAGACCCCUGAGGUUUCUAGCUGGAGGUUCUGGGUGGGUAGUAAGACUGCCAACUGGUAGAGGGAAUUUCAUAAGAGCAAGGCAGGUGUAAAGUUAAAGAGAUUGAUAUUUGACAUGCUGUAAUAAAAGACCCUAUGGAGAUUCCAUGGGGAACAGGAACCAAAAAAAAAAAAAAGGCCCUUAACUGCAAUGAGGGAAAAGGUAUCUUUAUAGUGGAGAAAGCUGGAAGACACCACCUCAACCCAAUGAUUAGUCAACACCAAGUCCUAUGACAUGCCUUCUGAGACAACACAGCCACAGGGAUGCAAACCUUAUCACGUAUGAACUUCUACCACCAAUUCAUAACCUGAUUUUGAGAUAUCAGGAGAUAACACAGAAUAGAUGGACACAUUAUACAAAACAACCACGCUGUCUUCUUAAAAAAUGUCAAUGCCAGACCUGGGGAUUUAGCUCAGUGGUAGAGCACUGGCCUAGCAUGGAUGAAGCUCUGGGUUGGAUCCCAAAUGCUACAAAACAACCUCAAAAUGUGAAUGUCAUUAAAGACAAACUGAAAAACUGAUUAUGGCAGCACAACUCAUAAGAGAGAAAUCUUCUAAGCAGCCUUUAUGUCCAUCAAGGCAUGAAUGGAUAUAGAAAAUAUGGUCUUUACACAAGUGGGGUAUUAUUACUAUGUCAUAUAUAAGGAUUAUCUUGAAGGAAACUUGGUAGGAAAUUUGUAGGAAAAUAGAUGCACCUUGAGACCAUAAUGUUAAGUGAAAUAAAUCAGACACACAAGCUUAAAUAUGACAUGGUUUCUCUUAUAUAAGAAACCCAAAAUAUAAAUAAAGAGGAAAAUAAAAUAAAAAUCAGAGAGAUAGAUCUUUUGCAAAAGGGAAGGGGACCAAGAGAUGAAUGGAGGAGAAAAAGGAUGAAGGGAAAGGAAUGGAAAAAGAAUUAAGAUGUGUUAUGUACAUGUACCAACUCCCCACGAGGAAUUCAAUCAUUAUGUACUGCAAUAAUGUACUAAUAAAACUUAAUAAAGAAAAAUGAAAAAUGACACGAUAGCAAAUUGCAGUGUGUGGUCCUGGGUGGGGUCUUGGAUCAGGCAGAUAAACUGCCAUAAAAAAUCCCCACUAUUGAAGUUCUCUUACAGCCUAGUUGAACUUGUAGGACUCUAGGCGUUGAUGUCAAGGCAUUUUUUUGCGCCUCCUUCAGUACUACUUCCUGCACAUGCGCACUCUUAGGUACCUGCGCAACAAUGGGCGUGCGUCGUAAGAACAUCCGGGCAUCACAGGUGUCGUAAGAACAUCCGGGCAACUUCCCAACUGGCGCGCACUUGGCGACCGUUAGCAGUACCUUCCCGAGCGGCUGCGGUGCCUGACUGCGGCGGUGGAGUCUCAGUCCUGGGAGAGGUUUCUAAAACUGACGAGAGGAGAAAACAAAAACAACAAAACUAAAAUCCGUGAAUGAAAGGGAACAUGUAGUGUUCCCUUCCUGUGUCCUCAGGGUGAUAAGGAAGACUGAAGAAGGAAAAUCUACCUACUGCAGGUAGGUUUAGAAGGUAUCUAAAAG
rnacentral:lncRNA from 1 species